rnacentral:lncRNA from 1 species
UUAUUCAUCCAAUCAGGGCAAGUGGCCACUCGAUCCUGCAUAAGACGAGCCACAAGUGUCUUCCUCUCCCCAACUAACCACACCAGGGCAGUAUUAUAUCCUUCUUUUUUUCUCAUUUUCUGUUCUUUUUCUAUUUUUGUUCUCUGUUUUACAUGUUUGCAUCACAUUGGGCACAAUGUGCCAUUUAAGUGUGGGGAAGGCACAUAUUGCACUUUUAGAUUCCUAUUUUGGCCACAUUUUUUUUCUCUAAACACAAGCUGACACACACUCUUAUCCUUGCCCAAAGGCACUCACAUAGACACACUUUCAAUAAAUAGUAACCCCAACUUUCUACUACUGCACUAGUUGCUCCCAAAAUGACUCAAUUAUGAUGUC